AUGAACGCUGGCGGCGCGCCUAACACAUGCAAGUCGAACGGCACCCCUCUCCGGAGGGAAGCGAGUGGCGAACGGCUGAGUAACACGUGGAGAACCUGCCCCCUCCCCCGGGAUAGCCGCCCGAAAGGACGGGUAAUACCGGAUACCCCGGGGUGCCGCAUGGCACCCCGGCUAAAGCCCCGACGGGAGGGGAUGGCUCCGCGGCCCAUCAGGUAGACGGCGGGGUGACGGCCCACCGUGCCGACAACGGGUAGCCGGGUUGAGAGACCGACCGGCCAGAUUGGGACUGAGACACGGCCCAGACUCCUACGGGAGGCAGCAGUGGGGAAUCUUGCGCAAUGGGGGGAACCCUGACGCAGCGACGCCGCGUGCGGGACGGAGGCCUUCGGGUCGUAAACCGCUUUCAGCAGGGAAGAGUCAAGACUGUACCUGCAGAAGAAGCCCCGGCUAACUACGUGCCAGCAGCCGCGGUAAUACGUAGGGGGCGAGCGUUAUCCGGAUUCAUUGGGCGUAAAGCGCGCGUAGGCGGCCCGGCAGGCCGGGGGUCGAAGCGGGGGGCUCAACCCCCCGAAGCCCCCGGAACCUCCGCGGCUUGGGUCCGGUAGGGGAGGGUGGAACACCCGGUGUAGCGGUGGAAUGCGCAGAUAUCGGGUGGAACACCGGUGGCGAAGGCGGCCGUCUGGUCUGGAUUCUGACACUGAAGCACGAAAGCGUGGGGAGCAAAUAGGAUUAGAUACCCUAGUAGUCCACGCCGUAAACGAUGAGAACUAGGUGUUGGGGGAAUAACUCAGUGCCGCAGUUAACGCAGUAAGUUCUCCGCCUGGGGAGUAUGCACGCAAGUGUGAAACUCAAAGGAAUUGACGGGGGCCCGCACAAGCAGUGGAGUAUGUGGUUUAAUUCGAAGCAACGCGAAGAACCUUACCAGGCCUUGACAUCCCUUGCAGAGGUAUAGAGAUAUAUCCGAGGUUAUCAAGGAGACAGGUGGUGCAUGGUUGUCGUCAGCUCGUGUCGUGAGAUGUUGGGUUAAGUCCCGCAACGAGCGCAACCCCCGCCGCGUGUUGCCAUCGGGUGAUGCCGGGAACCCACGCGGGACCGCCGCCGUCAAGGCGGAGGAGGGCGGGGACGACGUCAAGUCAUCAUGCCCCUUAUGCCCUGGGCUGCACACGUGCUACAAUGGCCGGUACAGAGGGAUGCCACCCCGCGAGGGGGAGCGGAUCCCGGAAAGCCGGCCCCAGUUCGGAUUGGGGGCUGCAACCCGCCCCCAUGAAGUCGGAGUUGCUAGUAAUCGCGGAUCAGCAUGCCGCGGUGAAUGCGUUCCCGGGCCUUGUACGCACCGCCCGUCACACCACCCGAGUCGUCUGCACCCGAAGUCGCCGGCCCAACCGAGAGGGGGGAGGCGCCGAAGGUGUGGAGGGUGAGGGGGGUG
rnacentral:rRNA from 1 species